rnacentral:rRNA from 1 species
AGCGAACGCUGGCGGCAGGCCUAACACAUGCAAGUCGAACGAAGUCUUCGGACUUAGUGGCGGACGGGUGAGUAACACGUGGGAACGUGCCUUUAGGUUCGGAAUAACUCAGGGAAACUUGUGCUAAUACCGAAUGUGCCCUUCGGGGGAAAGAUUUAUCGCCUUUAGAGCGGCCCGCGUCUGAUUAGCUAGUUGGUGAGGUAAAGGCUCACCAAGGCGACGACCAGAAGCUGGUCUGAGAGGAUGAUCAGCCACAUUGGGACUGAGACACGGCCCAAACUCCUACGGGAGGCAGCAGUGGGGAAUCUUGCGUAAUGGGCGAAAGCCUGACGCAGCCAUGCCGCGUGAAUGAUGAAGGUCUUAGGAUUGUAAAAUUCUUUCACCGGGGACGAUAAUGACGGUACCCGGAGAAGAAGCCCCGGCUAACUUCGUGCCAGCCGCCGCCGUAACAC